UACGAAGGGUGCUAGCGUUGUUCGGAAUCACUGGGCGUAAAGCGCGCGUAGGCGGCUUCUCAAGUCAGGGGUGAAAUCCUUGGGCUCAACCCAAGAAUUGCCUUUGAAACUGUGAAGCUGGAGUGUCGGAGGGGAUAGCGGAAUUGCUAAUGUAGAGGUGAAAUUCGUAGAUAUUAGCAGGAACACCGGUGGCGAAGGCGGCUAUCUGGACGACAACUGACGCUGAGGCGCGAAAGCGUGGGGAUCAAACAGG
rnacentral:rRNA from 1 species